GACGAACGCUGGCGGCGUGCCUAAUACAUGCAAGUUGAGCGAUGAAGAUUGGUGCUUGCACCAAUUUGAAGAGCAGCGCACGGGUGAGUAACGCGUGGGGAAUCUGCCUUUGAGCGGGGGACAACAUUUGGAAACGAAUGCUAAUACCGCAUAACAACUUUAAACAUAAGUUUUAAGUUUGAAAGAUGCAAUUGCAUCACUCAAAGAUGAUCCCGCGUUGUAUUAGCUAGUUGGUGAGGUAAAGGCUCACCAAGGCGAUGAUACAUAGCCGACCUGAGAGGGUGAUCGGCCACAUUGGGACUGAGACACGGCCCAAACUCCUACGGGAGGCAGCAGUAGGGAAUCUUCGGCAAUGGACGAAAGUCUGACCGAGCAACGCCGCGUGAGUGAAGAAGGUUUUCGGAUCGUAAAACUCUGUUGGUAGAGAAGAACGUUGGUGAGAGUGGAAAGCUCAUCAAGUGACGGUAACUACCCAGAAAGGGACGGCUAACUACGU
rnacentral:rRNA from 1 species